UCUGAGUCUGGCGUCACAUACA
rnacentral:miRNA from 10 species